AGGGUUUGAUCAUGGCUCAGAACGUACGCUGGCGGCACGCCUAACACAUGCAAGUCGAACGAAGUAGCAAUACUUAGUGGCAGACGGGUGAGUAACAUGUGGGUAUCUGCCCUUUGGCCUGGAAUAACACGAGGAAACUUGUGCUAAUACCGGAUAAGUCUUUACGGAGAAAGCUUUAUGCACCAUUGGAUGAGCCCGCACUUGAUUAGUUUGUUGGUGGGGUAAUGGCCUACCAAGACUGUGAUCAAUAGCUGAUUUGAGAGGAUGAUCAGCCACAUUGGGACUGAGACACGGCCCAAACUCCUACGGGAGGCAGCAGUGGGGAAUCUUGCACAAUGGAGGAAACUCUGAUGCAGCGAUGCCGCGUGAGUGAAGAAGGCCCUUGGGUUGUAAAGCUCUUUCGUCGGGGAAGAAAAUGACUGUACCCGAAUAAGAAGGUCCGGCUAACUUCGUGCCAGCAGCCGCGGUAAUACGAAGGGACCUAGCGUAGUUCGGAAUUACUGGGCUUAAAGAGUUCGUAGGUGGUUGAAAAAGUUAGUGGUGAAAUCCCAGAGCUUAACUCUGGAACUGCCAUUAAAACUUUUCAGCUAGAGUAUGAUAGAGGAAAGCAGAAUUUCUAGUGUAGAGGUGAAAUUCGUAGAUAUUAGAAAGAAUACCAAUUGCGAAGGCAGCUUUCUGGAUCAUUACUGACACUGAGGAACGAAAGCAUGGGUAGCGAAGAGGAUUAGAUACCCUCGUAGUCCAUGCCGUAAACGAUGUGUGUUAGACGUUGGAAAUUUAUUUUCAGUGUCGCAGCGAAAGCGAUAAACACACCGCCUGGGGAGUACGACCGCAAGGUUAAAACUCAAAUGAAUUGACGGGGACCCGCACAAGUAGUGGAGCAUGUGGUUUAAUUCGAAGAUACGCGCAGAACCUUACCAACACUUGACAUGUUCGUCGCGACUCUAAGAGAUUAGAGUUUUCGGUUCGGCCGGACGAAACACAGGUGCUGCAUGGCUGUCGUCAGCUCGUGUCGUGAGAUGUUGGGUUAAGUCCCGCAACGAGCGCAACCCUCACUUUUAGUUGCCAUCAUUAAGUUGGGCACUCUGAAAGAACUGCCAGUGAUAAGCUGGAGGAAGGUGGGGAUGACGUCAAGUCCUCAUGGCCCUUACGUGUUGGGCUACACACGUGCUACAAUGGUAUCUACAACAGGAAGCAAGACUGCGAAGUUAAGCAAAUCCCUAAAAGAUACCUCAGUUCGGAUUGCACUCUGCAACUCGAGUGCAUGAAGCUGGAAUUACUAGUAAUCGUGGAUCAGCGUGCCACGGUGAAUGCGUUCCCGGGUCUUGUACACACCGCCCGUCACACCAUGGGAGUUGGUUCUACCUUAAGGCAAGGUUUCAAACCCUUGACCACGGUAUAGUCAGCGACUGGGGUGAAGUCGUAACAAGGUAGCCGUA
rnacentral:rRNA from 1 species